rnacentral:rRNA from 1 species
UACGAAGGGGGCUAGCGUUGCUCGGAAUCACUGGGCGUAAAGCGCACGUAGGCGGACUCUUAAGUCGGUGGUGAAAUCCUGGAGCUCAACUCCAGAACUGCCUUUGAUACUGAAGAUCUUGAGUUCGGGAGAGGUGAGUGGAACUGCGAGUGUAGAGGUGAAAUUCGUAGAUAUUCGCAAGAACACCCGUGGCGAAGGCGGCUCUCUGGGACGGUACUGACGCUGAGACGCGAAAGCGUGGGGAGCGAACAGG